UACGAAGGGGACUAGCGUUGUUCGGAAUCACUGGGCGUAAAGCGCACGUAGGCGGAUGUGUCAGUCAGGGGUGAAAUCCCGGGGCUCAACCUCGGAACUGCCUUUGAUACAGCACGUCUCGAGUCCGGAAGAGGUGGGUGGAAUUCCUAGUGUAGAGGUGAAAUUCGUAGAUAUUCGGAAGAACACCAGUGGCGAAGGCGACAUACUGGUCCGUUACUGACGCUGAGGCUCGAAAGCGUGGGGAGCAAACAGG
rnacentral:rRNA from 1 species